rnacentral:lncRNA from 1 species
AUGAUUGGUUUUUUUUACGUCAUUAGAAGGCACAAAAGGAUGCUUCCGUAACAGGUGACAUUAGAUAAAAGUUAAUUAUAUUAUGUAUGAAAAUCAGACUUAUAAGACAGACUUAUGGUUGCAAGAGCGUAAUUAUUUGUUUACAUUUUACCGGCAAGUUUUUUUUUUACCCCUUACCCCAAAUUGGUACACAGAAUAGAAUCUUGUACGGCUUCUGAUUGAAUGAAAAAGAAUUGGAAUUACUUUUAAUCGAAACCUUAUAUAUACAAUAAGGUUUAUAAAAUCCAGAAUAUCAAAUUCAUAUCUUACAAACUAUAGAAACUAUCUCCCAUUUCUGCACGUCGGAGCCAUAAAAUAUAUGCCUUUUCAUUAAGCAAAAUAUAGACGAUGUUUUCAAACUGCAUUAUAAUUCAAUUUUUCGUGCAUGAACAUAUCUAUUUUUGUGGUUGUAAUGCAACACUGGCAUUUCUACUAACAGGAACUGCUACGGUACCCUUAUUUGCUGUUUUGUGUGUAGUCUUCGAGAAAAAGAAUACGUAACACUAUUGGUACCCUAUGGAAAAUGCAUUACGUAUUAUUGCGUUCUUGUAACCUUAUAAUACAUUUGUAGAUGUUUCAAAUUUCAGUUAUCCCCCGUUCAACAAAAAGUCUCG